rnacentral:lncRNA from 1 species
UUUUUUUUUUUUUUGAGACAGAGUCUCGCUCUAUCACCAGGCUGGAGUACAGUGGUGCAAUCUCGGCUCACUGCAAGCUCUGCCUCCCGGGUUCACACCAUUCUCCUGCCUCAACCUCCCAAGUAGCUGGGACUAUAGGUGCCUGCAACCACACCUGGCUAAUUUUUUGUAUUUUUAGUAGAGAUGGGGUUUCACCAUGUUAGCUAGGAUGGUCUGGAUCUCCUGACCUCGUGAUCUGCCCGCCUCGGCCUCCCAAAGUGCUGGGAUUACAGGCGUGAGCCACCGUGACCAGCCUAAAAAGUUUAUUUCUAUUUUAACUAGCCCAAAGACCCAAUUAUUUGAGGGCUGACCUGAUUUCUGACACAUGGUCUACAGACCCUCCUCUUGCAACCUUACUUCUCUCCCCUUCCAAAAAAGUCUGCACCUUCCAUCAUGAUGCACUUUUUAAGUUAAAAUUGCCAAUACAACCCUAAAAAUGCAAGUUUAUUGAAUAAAGCUGAGAAGAGCAGUAAACAGACAAAAAAUGCAUCCACCUAAAUAAAAAAAAUUCACAUAGUUCAGUAACUGUUAAAAGUUUUCACAUGCAGAGGUUAAUGCACAGGAAAAUGUUGGGAAUAGCAUCCGGACGUCUUGAAAUGCUGAAAGCAAUGUACAGACACAAAAACACAUUAAGAUUUAGCUAUAGGUCAAUUAACAAACCUAUGCAGUCCCCACGGAGUCACACAUCCUAGUUUCGAUUUCUCCUUUUAGGCACAAGCAAGUUGCCACACUCUUUGUAAUGGCUCACAUUGACCAUUAAUGGUGUUGAACAAUAAUAGCAAGUUUAAAUAUCCCUUCAUUUACAGAACCAUCUAUCCCAUCAGGGAAAUAUGCAACAUGCUUCAAAGAAUAAGAAGAGAACUUUAAAAGCCCAGAUUCUACUCAUAAAAAAAUGAAUGGAGAAAAGCAGGUAGUGUCUGUGCAACACAGUGCAGUAUAUUGUACAGAAUAUUUUUUAAGGCCAUAGCAGUCUAGAAAUUAAAACAGAUAUUCAUUAAAAGAACUUACUGUUGACUACACUCUGAGUGCUCAACACAUUUGGAAAUGCAGUCUGCGUAAGUGCUGCUUAACAGAAGAAACAAAAUCACACACAGUAUGAGCCAACAUAUAAGCAGGUGAACCAUAGAGUUUUAUCUACUACAGUGGCCUAUAUGAAUAAUAAUUUACAAAUGAACCAGUAUGAAUACGUCCCUUUAUGUAUAUGGAAGUCACUAAACUACAAAACAUGUUCAUUUGAAGUUUUUAGACAUCUCUAUCAUAGAAGCAAAGGAACAGCAUGAGUUCCUCAGUUCUCUGUGUGACUGAUUACUAAACAACCUGUAGACGUCGAGCAUGAUUACAUUAGAUAAAGCAGGCAGGUCUAGAGUUGUCACAAUCAUCAAGAUGUCUAAUGGCACCAGUCAAAAGAGUGCC